GACGAACGCUGGCGGCGUGCUUAACACAUGCAAGUCGAACGGAAAGGCCCUGCUUUUGUGGGGUGCUCGAGUGGCGAACGGGUGAGUAACACGUGAGUAACCUGCCCUUGACUUUGGGAUAACUUCAGGAAACUGGGGCUAAUACCGGAUAGGAGCUCCUGCUGCAUGGUGGGGGUUGGAAAGUUUCGGCGGUUGGGGAUGGACUCGCGGCUUAUCAGCUUGUUGGUGGGGUAGUGGCUUACCAAGGCUUUGACGGGUAGCCGGCCUGAGAGGGUGACCGGCCACAUUGGGACUGAGAUACGGACCAGACUCCUACGGGAGGCAGCAGUGGGGAAUAUUGCACAAUGGGCGGAAGCCUGAUGCAGCCACGCCGCGUGCGGGAUGACGGCCUUCGGGUUGUAAACCGCUUUCGCCUGUGACGAAGCGUGAGUGACGGUAAUGGGUAAAGAAGCACCGGCUAACUACGUG
rnacentral:rRNA from 1 species